rnacentral:rRNA from 1 species
UACGUAGGGUCCGAGCGUUGUCCGGAAUUACUGGGCGUAAAGAGCUCGUAGGUGGUUUGUCGCGUUGUUCGUGAAAACUCACAGCUCAACUGUGGGCGUGCGGGCGAUACGGGCAGACUUGAGUACUGCAGGGGAGACUGGAAUUCCUGGUGUAGCGGUGGAAUGCGCAGAUAUCAGGAGGAACACCGGUGGCGAAGGCGGGUCUCUGGGCAGUAACUGACGCUGAGGAGCGGAAGCGUGGGGAGCGAACAGG